UACGUAGGGGGCGAGCGUUGUCCGGAAUCACUGGGCGUAAAGCGCACGUAGGCGGAUUGUUAAGUCAGGGGUGAAAUCCUGGAGCUCAACUCCAGAACUGCCUUUGAUACUGGCGAUCUCGAGCCCGGGAGAGGUGAGUGGAACUGCGAGUGUAGAGGUGAAAUUCGUAGAUAUUCGCAAGAACACCAGUGGCGAAGGCGGCUCACUGGCCCGGUACUGACGCUGAGGUGCGAAAGCGUGGGGAGCAAACAGG
rnacentral:rRNA from 1 species